AUACGGAGGAUCCGAGCGUUAUCCGGAUUUAUUGGGUUUAAAGGGAGCGUAGGCGGAUUAUUAAGUCAGUUGUGAAAGUUUGCGGCUCAACCGUAAAAUUGCAGUUGAUACUGGUAGUCUUGAGUGCAGCAGAGGUAGGCGGUAUUCGUGGUGUAGCGGUGAAAUGCUUAGAUAUCACGAAGAACUCCGAUUGCGAAGGCAGCUUACUGGACUGUAACUGACGCUGAUGCUCGAAAGUGUGGGUAUCAAACAGGAUUAGAUACCCUGGUAGUCCACACAGUAAACGAUGAAUACUCGCUGUUUGCGAUAUACAGCAAGCGGCCAAGCGAAAGCAUUAAGUAUUCCACCUGGGGAGUACGCACGCAAGUGUGAAACUCAAAGGAAUUGGCGGGG
rnacentral:rRNA from 1 species